AGCCGAAGCCCGAGGCUUAACCGACUGAGCCACCCAGGUGCCCCUAUGUGCUUUUCUUUUUAAACUCAGGAGGAAAAGAUAUCCUUAACUCUCCCUUGAAGUUCUUUAGAAAGAAUUACUACAAUAGUUUCAAGUAUUAAAAAUAUUUUAGACAAAUACAUCUCAAAUGUUUAACAUAAAUUCAGCAAACCACAAAAUUCACUGGAUCUGGAUAUUUGACGAAUUUUCUGUUACCGCUUCCUCUCUUUCUCUGCAAGCUCCUCACAGCCUGUGAAGCUCGAUGACAUUCAGUGCGUUCUCUUUCUCCCCAAACUUCCUAGCGCUCUGAAUGACGCACCUUCACUCUGUUUGAGAAUGUUUGGAAAUUUUCCAGUCAGAAAGACAGAAGAGUGUCAUAAAACAAAGGAUUGAGAGUAUUUUUAAGUCUCUGACUUCCUCAAAUAAAAACGUCUCUCCACGAAAUCCAAAAGUGCAUGACAGUUCACACAAAGGGCUCCUGACACUGCCUCCUUAGCAACUCGUGUGAGUUGGUGACGUUUUUGCCCAUGUGUGCCCAGCCCCGCCAUGCCCCCGACUCUGAGAGCUGCCCUGAAGGCAGUGAGUACAUGACAAGCCCCUGCUCUCCUGCACCUUACAUUCCAGUGGGGUGAUGUCCACAGACAAACCAACCAGGAAGUUACAGAUUUCUGUUGGGAGUUCUGAAGGAAAUAAGCAAGCUCUCCGGCUGAAAACACUGGCAGAUCUAGGUGGUCAGGGAAGGUUCCUCCGAGAAAAUGGCUCGAAGGUAUUCGUUUCCUGGGGUUGCCCUAACAAAGUACCACAAACUGGGCAACUUAAAUAACAGCACUGUAUUGUCAUACAGUUAUGGAAGCUGGUAGUCCAAGAUCCAGGUGUCACAGGGUCGGUUCCUUGUGAGGCCGAGGGAGGGACUUGCUUGAUGCCUCCUGGCUUCUGGUGCUUUGCCAGGAACCUUGGACAUUCUUUGUCUUGCAAAUGAUCUCUGAUCUCUGCUUUCUUCUUCACAAGGCGUCCUCUGGGGGAUGCACCUGCACCCAAAUUUCUCCCUUUUAUCAAGACACCAGUCACUGGAUUAGGGGCCCAGCCCACUCCAGUAUGAUCUCAUCUUAACCAAUUAACAUCUGCAUAGACCUGUUUCUGCAUAAGGUUGCAUUCUGAGGCACUGAAGGUUAUGACUUCCACAUGAAUGGAGUGGGGACACAAUUCAACACAUAACAGAGGAAAGAGUGGGGGACUAAAGCCCUAAGAAGCAAAAGGGUCUGGCAUAUUCCUGGGACUGAAGAAUGUGGGACUUCAGAGCUGUGAAUGAGGGAAGGAAAGCCCAGGCCAAGGGCAAGAUAACUGGAGAUAAGAAAGGAAAUACAGCCAACCAAGAAUGGAAAACCGUUCAGACUGAAGGAGAGAAAGAAAUACGUAUGCCAAAUGGCAGGAGGUGGCUGUGAGCGCUGAUGGAGCAGAACCAGCCACGUGAGCGGCAACCACGUUCUGUUUUCCAAGGAGAUUGUCAGAGAGCAUUGGACUGCGUAGGUCUAGGCCAGCCCGCCCUCUGCAGGGCUGCGCUCCGCAAUCUGGAAGAGCCGAGGAGGAAAGAGGCCUGGUUCCCUAUCUCAGGGCCUGUGAGUCUACACUGGGAGACAGGACCCACAACGAAAUGGUUAUUUCAAGACAGAAACGGAAAGAUCAAGAGAGUGGGAGAAAGUGGAAUGGCACAUGAAGAAUAGUUUUUGCUUUAUUUUUCUCUCUACAUGCCUACAGUCAGUGUGAAUGGAUGUGCCUCACCUGUUGCACCUGGGAUUCUAAGACGUUGGGGCAGAGACUGUGUGUCCCAUCUUCCAGACCAGAGGGAACAAAGGCGGCUUCAGAGACCCCUCUAGUCCUGUGUCAGCCACAUCUCCGUCCCACUACACCAGCAAAGCCAGUGCACAGCCCGGAAUGCUUGGCGGAAUUUGUGGACGUGGAAAUGCAAAGGCGGAUGUUUCUAUCAUGACAGCCCGCCGGCGCGCAGGAGACAGCAGCCCCUGGAUGAAAGAUUCCUAAGGAUCAAAGGAGAAAACAUUUGUAAAACUGUUUUGCCAACUAAAUCUUACAGAAUAGAAAGUAUUUCUCUGAAUACCAUGAACCAAGAACACCGCCUUCUGGGUUAAUAAAUCCCACUGUGACAACUCUCACAA